rnacentral:rRNA from 1 species
UACGAAGGGUGCAAGCGUUACUCGGAAUUACUGGGCGUAAAGCGUGCGUAGGUGGUUUGUUAAGUCUGAUGUGAAAGCCCUGGGCUCAACCUGGGAAUGGCAUUGGAUACUGGCAGUCUAGAGUGCGGUAGAGGGUAGCGGAAUUCCAGGUGUAGCGGUGAAAUGCGUAGAUAUCUGGAGGAACACCGGUGGCGAAGGCGGCAUCCUGGACCGACAUUGACGCUGAGGCGCGAAAGCCAGGGGAGCAAACGGG